rnacentral:lncRNA from 1 species
GCUUACGUGGACUCUAAAACGCUCCGCGGUAUCUAACUUUAUUUCUUUGACACCUAAAACGGGAUGCAACCUUCAAGCAUGACCGAUCUGUUAUUUUUAAACAGAGGGGAAAAUCUGGCAAUGUAAAUAGAAAGUAUCUGUUUACAUAGGUUUUUUAGAAUUUGAUCUGAAAUUUUAGCAAGUUGCAGAAUGGGUUGUGAAGCACAACAUUUCAUCUCUUUGAUUCUAGACACUAUCCUCAGAAAUUAGAUUUGAAAAAUGAGCUUCAUUUUCGAAGAACAUAUUGAAUUUGUUAUCUCGAUUAUGGAGGGCGACAAGUCCCACAGUCUGCCAUCUGCAGGAUGGAGAACCAGUCUUUAUAGGGGGAGAAUAAUUGACUCCAUUCAAGUGUUCGCUCCUGUUUCAAUCAACUAUGGCUGAAGAGUGAGGAGACAUUUGGAAUAAAUAUGGCUUCUGGGGGCCCAUUCCUAUGGAUCAGCAGCUGGCUUCUGGAGGCCCAUUCCUGUGAAUCGUCGAUCUCAUAGAAGAUAAUAUUGUUAGAAGGCUUACCUCAUUGAUGCUGAACAUCCUAAAAAGCUUCUGCUGCUUUGAGUCACUGAAAAAGACCAAGAAACAUGAAUUUAAAAAAAAAUUUCAAAUGUUAUAAAAUAAAUAAUAUGAACUCAUUAUACCUACAAUGAAUAA